AGCCAUUAGCCAAACAAGUAUUAAAGGUAACGCCUGCCCAGUGAGAGACCCUCUUAAAUGGCCGCGAGACAACCGUGCGAAGGUAGCGAAAUCACUUGUCUCCUAAAUAGAGACCCGUAUGAAUGGCCUAAUGAGAAAGAAACUGUCUCUUGAAGAUAGCCAGUGAAACUAAUCUGCCUGUGCAAAAGCAGACAUAACAAAACAAGACAAAAAGACCCUGUGAAACUUAAAAAUAAACAUCAACAAUCAUGGUGGUGUUUUUUGGUUGGGGCAACCAAAGAGAAAUAAAACCUCUUUCAAACGCAUUAGACCAACAAGUCUAGCCGUACUAAAUAGACCCAGUAAGACUGAUCAACGAACCAAGCUACUCCAGGGAUAACAGCGCCAAAUUCUUGAAGAGUUCACAUCAACAAGAAUUCUUACGACCUCGAUGUUGGAUCAGGGUACCCAAACAGUGCAAAAGCCGCUAAUGGUUCGUUUGUUCAACGAUUAAUACCCU
rnacentral:rRNA from 1 species